rnacentral:rRNA from 1 species
UCCCACCCUUUGUGUACCUACCUCUGUUGCUUUGGCGGGCCGCGGUUCUCCGCGGCCGCCCCCCUCCCCGGGGGGUGGCCAGCGCCCGCCAGAGGACCAUCAAACUCCAGUCAGUAAACGAUGCAGUCUGAAAAACAUUUAAUAAACUAAAACUUUCAACAACGGAUCUCUUGGUUCUGGCAUCGAUGAAGAACGCAGCGAAAUGCGAUAAGUAAUGUGAAUUGCAGAAUUCAGUGAAUCAUCGAAUCUUUGAACGCACAUUGCGCCCUUUGGUAUUCCGAAGGGCAUGCCUGUUCGAGCGUCAUUACAACCCUCAAGCUCUGCUUGGUAUUGGGCACCGUCCUUUGCGGGCGCGCCUCAAAGACCUCGGCGGUGGCGUCUUGCCUCAAGCGUAGUAGAACAUACAUCUCGCUUCGGAGCGCAGGGCGUCGCCCGCCGGACGAACCUUCUGAACUUUUCUCAAGGUUGACCUCGGAUCCCGUCCGGAUACCCGGAGAACUUAAUAUAUCAAUAAGGCGGAGGAA